GACGAACGCUGGCGGCGUGCCUAACACAUGCAAGUCGAACGGGGUUAUUAAGAAUAGUUUACUAUUUUUAAUAACCUAGUGGCGAACGGGUGAGUAACGCGUGGGCAACCUACCCGCAAAUCUGGGAUAACUUCUCGAAAGGGGAGCUAAUACCGGAUGUGUUUAGGAAGUCGCAUGACUUUCUAAAUAAAGGUGGCGCAAGCUGCUGUUUGCGGAUGGGCCCGCGUCCCAUUAGCUAGUUGGUGAGAUAACAGCCCACCAAGGCGACGAUGGGUAGCCGGCCUGAGAGGGUGGCCGGCCACACUGGGACUGAGACACGGCCCAGACUCCUACGGGAGGCAGCAGUGGGGAAUAUUCCGCAAUGGGGGAAACCCUGACGGAGCAACGCCGCGUGAGCGAAGAAGGCCUUUGGGUUGUAAAGCUCUGUCUUCAGGGAAGAAACCUUAAGAGAGGAUAAUGCUCUUAAGCUGACGGUACCUGAGGAGGAAGCCCCGGCUAACUACGUG
rnacentral:rRNA from 1 species